GACGAACGCUGGCGGCGUGCUUAACACAUGCAAGUCGAACGGUAAGGCUCCAGCUUGCUGGGGUACACGAGUGGCGAACGGGUGAGUAACACGUGGGUGACCUGCCCUGCACUUCGGGAUAAGCCUGGGAAACUGGGUCUAAUACCGGAUAGGACCGCACCGUGAGGGUGUGGUGGAAAGUUUUUUCGGUGUGGGAUGGGCCCGCGGCCUAUCAGCUUGUUGGUGGGGUAAUGGCCUACCAAGGCGGCGACGGGUAGCCGGCCUGAGAGGGUGGACGGCCACAUUGGGACUGAGACACGGCCCAGACUCCUACGGGAGGCAGCAGUGGGGAAUAUUGCACAAUGGGCGGAAGCCUGAUGCAGCGACGCCGCGUGGGGGAUGACGGCCUUCGGGUUGUAAACCCCUUUCACCAUCGACGAAGGGUUUCUGACGGUAGAUGGAGAAGAAGCACCGGCUAACUACGUG
rnacentral:rRNA from 1 species